CCCUAGCCCCGAUUGUAACAUUUGUUUGAGCUCAUUUUCUGGGUUUCGGCGGCAGCAAAGCCGCCGAAACCCAGAAAAUAGCGAGUGCGAAAAGCGGGAAAUAGC
rnacentral:sRNA from 1 species